GACGAACGCUGGCGGCGUGCUUAACACAUGCAAGUCGAACGGAAAGGCCCUGCUUUUGUGGGGUGCUCGAGUGGCGAACGGGUGAGUAACACGUGAGUAACUUGCCCUUGACUUUGGGAUAACUUCAGGAAACUGGGGCUACUACCGGAUAGGAGCUCCUGUUGCAUGGUGGGGGUUGGAAAGUUUCGGCGGUUGGGGAUGGACUGGCGGCUUAUCAGCUUGUUGGUGGGGUAGUGGCUGACCAAGGCUUUGACGGGUAGCCGGCCUGAGAGGGUGACCGGCGACAUUGGGACUGAGAGACGGCCCAGACGCCUACGGGAGGCAGCAGGGGGGAAUAUUGCACAAUGGGCGGAAGCCUGAUGCAGCAACGCCGCGUGCGGGAUGACGGCCUUCGGGGUGUAAACCGCUUUCGCCUGUUACGAAGCGGGAGUGACGGUAAUGAGUAAAGAAGCACCGGCUAACUACGUG
rnacentral:rRNA from 1 species